rnacentral:tRNA from 1 species
GGAGGAGUAGGUUAAGUUAUAAACCCAGUGGUUCAUGCCCAAGAAAUACAAUCCUUUGAUUGUCUCCUCUG